GAUGAACGCUAGCGGUGCGCCUAACACAUGCAAGUCGAGCGAGAUUAUUUGUGACACAGAGUCCAUAACAGUGGAUUGUGUGUCACAGGUAAUUUAGCGGCAAACGGGUGCGUAACACGUUGAUACUUCCCCCAGAGUCAGGGAUAGCCUCGAGAAAUCGAGAUUAAUACCGGAUAGUCCCGAAAGGGUAAGGAGCAAUUCGCUCUGGGAAAGGUCUGCGGCCUAUCAGCUAGUUGGCGGGGUAAUAGCCCACCAAGGCGAUGACGGGUAGCUGGUCUGAGAGGACGGCCAGCCACAAUGGGACUGAGACACGGCCCAUACUCCUACGGGAGGCAGCAGUGAGGAAUCUUCCGCAAUGGGCGAAAGCCUGACGGAGCGACACCGCGUGAAGGAUGAAGCCUUUGUUGGUGUAAACUUCUUUUACUCUUCGGAAGAUAAUGACGGUACGAGAGGAAUAAGGGGCGCGAAACUUCGUGCCAGCAGCCGCGGUAAUCU
rnacentral:rRNA from 1 species